rnacentral:lncRNA from 1 species
AACCAAAAAGAGGUUUUUAAUUAAAAUAAUUAAAUUAAAUAAAAAUGGUUCCUUCAGUUAAUUAGAAAUAUUAAAAAUUGGAAUUAUGAUGAAAAAUACAAUCGAACUCUAAUGUUCCUUCAAUUCAAUAUUUUUUCUUUUUUUGGAUUUGUGAAGUAACAUUUUUUGAGUUUGUCUUCCUUAUUGAACAUGCCCAAAACAGAUUAUGUCCCCUUGUGUUUGAGUCCAUAUAGGUGUUGUGUUGUUGUUUUUUUCUUUUACUUUCAUUAGAUCCAUUUAUUCCACUUUUGAGAAAAGAAAUGAAUCUUAAUCACAAUUUUUUUAACUUUUUUAACUUUUUUCAUUUUU